AUUGGAAUGAGUACAACUUACAUCUCUUCACGAGGAUCAAUUGGAGGGCAAGUCUGGUGCCAGCAGCCGCGGUAAUUCCAGCUCCAAUAGCGUAUAUUAAAGUUGUUGCAGUUAAAAAGCUCGUAGUCGGAUUUCGGGGCGGGCCGGGCGGUCUGCCGAUGGGUAUGCACUGUUUGGCGCGUCCUUCUUUCCGGAGACCGCGCCUACUCUUAGCUGAGCGGGCGUGGGAGACGGAUCGUUUACUUUGAAAAAAUCAGAGUGUUUCAAGCAGGCAGCUCGCUCUUGCAUGGAUUAGCAUGGGAUAAUGAAAUAGGACUCUGGUGCUAUUUUGUUGGUUUCGAACACCGGAGUAAUGAUUAACAGGGACAGUCAGGGGCACUCGUAUUCCGUCGAGAGAGGUGAAAUUCUCAGACCAAUGGAAGACGAACCACUGCGAAAGCAUUUGCCAGGGAUGUUUUCACUGAUCAAGAACGAAAGUUAGGGGAUCGAAGACGAUCAGAUACCGUCGUAGUCUUAACCAUAAACCAUGCCGACUAGGGAUUGGAGGGUGUUCUAUUUGACCCCUUCAGCACCUUACGGGAAACUAAAGUCUUUGGGUUCCGGGGGGAGUAUGGUCGCAAGGCUGAAACUUAAAGGAAUUGACGGAAGGGCACCACCAGGAGUGGAGCCUGCGGCUUAAUUUGACUCAACACGGGGAAACUUACCAGGUCCAGACAUUGUUAGGAUUGACAGAUUGAGGGCUCUUUCUUGAUUCGAUGGGUGGUGGUGCAUGGCCGUUCUUANUUGGUGGAGUGAUUUGUCUGGUUAA
rnacentral:rRNA from 1 species